CUACGGGGCGCUCCAGUAGGGAAUAUUGCACAAUGGGCGAAAGCCUGAUGCAGCAACGCCGCGUGCGCGAUGAAGGCCUUCGGGUUGUAAAGCGCUUUUCUGAGGGAAGAGGAAGGACUGUACCUCAGGAAUAAGUCUCGGCUAACUACGUGCCAGCAGCCGCGGUAACACGUAGGAGGCAAGCGUUAUCCGGAUUUACUGGGCGUAAAGCGCGUGUAGGCGGUUUGGCAAGUCGGAUGUGAAAGCUCCUGGCUCAACUGGGAGAGGUCGUUCGAAACUGCCAGACUGGAGGACGGUAGAGGAAGAUAGAAUUCCCGGUGUAGUAGUGAAAUGCGUACAUAUCGGGAUGCACACCAGUCGCCAAGGCCGUCUUCUGGGCCGUUCCUGACACUGAGACCCGAAAGCAUGGGUACCGAACGGGAUUAGAUACCCCAGUAGUC
rnacentral:rRNA from 1 species